rnacentral:rRNA from 1 species
UUGAGAGCUUGCUUUUGAUUAUUUUAGCGGCGGCCUGAUGAGUAACGUGUGGGCAACUUACCUUUUACUGUGGAAUAAUCGUUGGAAACGACGACUAAUACCGCAUACGGUUCUUGGAAGGCAUCUUCUAUGAAAGAAAGGAGUAAUUCGGUAAAAGAUGGGCCCGCAUCUGAUUAGCUAGUUGGUGAGAUAAUAGCCCACCAAGGCAACGAUCAGUAGCCGACCUGAGAGGGUGACCGGCCACAUUGGGACUGAGACACGGCCCAAACUCCUACGGGAGGCAGCAGUGGGGAAUAUUGCACAAUGGGCGAAAGCCUGAUGCAGCAACGCCGCGUGAAGGAAGACGGUUUUCGGAUUGUAAACUUCUAUCAAUAGGGAAGAAAGAAAUGACGGUACCUAAAUAAGAAGCCCCGGCUAACUACGUGCCAGCAGCCGCGGUAAUACGUAGGGGGCAAGCGUUAUCCGGAAUUACUGGGUGUAAAGGGAGAGUAGGCGGCAAGGUAAGCGAUAUGUGAAAGCCUUAAGCUUAACUUAAGGAUGGCAUAACGAACUAUCUAGCUAGAGUACAGGAGAGGAAAGCGGAAUUCCUAGUGUAGCGGUGAAAUGCGUAGAUAUUAGGAAGAACACCAGUGGCGAAGGCGGCUUUCUGGACUGAAACUGACGCUGAGGCUCGAAAGCGUGGGGAGCGAACAGGAUUAGAUACCCUGGUAGUCCACGCUGUAAACGAUGAGUGCUAGGUGUCGGGGAGGAAUUCCCGGUGCCGGAGCAAACGCAAUAAGCACUCCACCUGGGGAGUACGACCG